GCCGGAGUGGCGGAACGGUAGACGCAGCGGACUCAAAAUCCGCCGCCCUUAAAAGCGUGUGGGUUCGAGUCCCACCUCCGGUACCA
rnacentral:tRNA from 1 species